rnacentral:tRNA from 1 species
GUGGANUGGAUUUAAACCCCAUUUAUAAAGGAUUAUCCUUUUUUUAGAA